AAUGAACCCUGAGGGGGCUAGAGGGAAAGAUCACUGAAGGCGGGGAGGUCAAGGAAUCACGGGGCCAGUACAGAGAUGAUGACUGUGUCACCAAGAGCAGCCUGAGGAGUGAGGUGAAGAGGAAGCAGCGAGUGGGGCUGGAACCUCUGUGAACAUGCAGGGACCACAACAAGGGGCAGUAAUGGGUGCUGAGGAUCACACAACUUCACAAAAACCGGAAUUUUCAAAAUUUGAAGGAGAAAUUAGUGGGAAUUAGCCAUGGGGCCAAGGCUACUAAGCCUCCCUCAAACUCAGAGGUGAGUGGGAAACCUCACAGCCUCCCCAGAAGGAUUCCGGGAAGAUGAUAGACCAGAAGGUCCUCGACCUUCAGGGCUUCUUGGUCUAGUGGGAAGAUACAAAGUAUCAGCUCAUCAAACGCACAGCAGAGUGGUUACCAUGCAGCUGGUAUUUAAGACAAGUGUCUACGUGCUCUGUGCUCCUACAGAUUGUAAGCCCCCUGCACCUGGAAUACAGGGAGCGCAGGCUGUCAACCUCUGUGGCAAAGAGCAGACACGUCCUCUGCUGCUGCCCCGAGUGGAUCUCAGACGCAUCCUCCCUGGGAUUCCCUCAGCUGCUGUCUCGCUCCUACCUUUCAUCUCGACAUCCAAUUCAUCUUGGCACUGACAGUUGAGAUCAGAGCGAGAUGAAGAAGAAGCAGGUUUGUCGUAGAGUUUCUUCAAAGGAGCAAGCGUGAUCUAUUUACUUACUUGCUAGUGUGAUGCGUGAUGCUCGUUACAGAAGGAACUUAAAGCAGCAUAUAAGAACUCACAAAAGGCAAGACUGUCAUCAUAAAGCUAAAGGAGGAGUAAAGGAAGGAGAAGCCAAGCUGCGGAAUAUAGAAGGAGGCAGGGAGAUGGCUGAAGGAAGCAGAACAGAAAGCCCUGCGCCCUCGCUGUGCAUGUGGCAGGGACCCUGGGCCGCAGUACAUGGUCCACAGUACCUGAAACCUCACGACAGACCCCUGUCCUGAAAAGUGCAGCCACCACCAGUGCCGAGGCCAGCUGGACUGGAGCUCCAUCAGGAAGAACCUUCAUCCUGAGGUGUACACUGCACUCAGCCACAUCCUCUCUGACACACACAGACUUCACACCGUCACUCAGGACAGGCUGAUGACAUCGACCUGUAGAGCAUGGGUUCCAAGCUGGAUGGAGCUUUGCUGCUGUAACUCAGUCUAGGAAUAUACUUCAGAAUAUCUAAUAUGUCCUUUAGAGACCUUCAUCACAUACCCUUCCUAGGAGAGAGGAUUUAGACCAUGGCCGACAGCGUUGCUCUCAUGACCCUCCCUCCUGGAGCUCAGCCCUGUAACACCAUCAAGGCAAACAGAGACCCCACUUGGAAAACCCACACCCCUAACCAGAGCUGUACACUGUCAAGGCAAUCCUUUAACAUCCAUUUAUAGGUGAACUGGGGGGUUAUUCCCAGGAAACCUACAGGAUGAACUACAAUGCACAGGUGAAUGGGUGAAUGCAUUCUACAAAGCACAACUGAUGAUCUUCUCCAGGAAAAUAGCCAAACUUAAUUCCAUCAAACAUCUGUUCUGUGGAUAGCUGUCUUCCCCCACUGCAUGACAGGAGUGUUAACUGUUUCU
ensembl:lncRNA